UGUGAAUUGCAGAAUUCAGUGAAUCAUCGAAUCUUUGAACGCACAUUGCGUCCCUUGGUAUUCCGGGGGGCAAGCCAGUUCGAGCGUCAUUACAACCCUCAAUCUCUGCUUUUUUUUAGGCACCGUCCUUUACGGGCGCGCCUCAAAGAGCUC
rnacentral:rRNA from 1 species